rnacentral:pre_miRNA from 1 species
UAUACUAGUUUGAUUAAUGGGUACUGUAAGGUGGGGGAGAUUGGGGAUGCGUUUAAGGUGUUUGAUGAAAUGUGUGAGAAUGAUGUGAGGCCUAAUUCGCUUACGUACAGUGUUUUGAUUCGCGGGG